GAUGAACGCUGGCGGCAUGCCUAAUACAUGCAAGUCGAACGAGAGGAAGGAAAGCUUGCUUUUCUGAAUCUAGUGGCGAACGGGUGAGUAACACGUAGGUAACCUGCCCAUGUGCCCGGGAUAACUUCUGGAAACGGAUGCUAAAACCGGAUAGGUAGCAGACAAGCAUUUGACUGCUAGUAAAGUGGCUAAGGCCAUGAACAUGGAUGGACCUGCGGUGCAUUAGCUAGUUGGUGAGGUAACGGCCCAACAAGGCGACGAUGCAUAGCCGGCCUGAGAGGGCGGACGGCCACAUUGGGACUGAGACACGGCCCAAGCUCCUACGGGAGGCAGCAGUAGGGAAUUUUCGUCAAUGGGGGGAACCCUGAACGAGUAAUGCCGCGUGAGUGAGGAAGGUCUUCGGAUCGUAAAGCUCUGUUGUAAGAGAAAAACGACAUUCAUAGGGAAUGAUGAGUGAGUGAUGGUAUCUUACCAGAAAGUCACGGCUAACUACGUGCCAGCCGCCGCAGUAAUAC
rnacentral:rRNA from 1 species